GAUCCUGCUCAGGAUGAACGCUAGCUACAGGCUUAACACAUGCAAGUCGAGGGGCAGCAUUUUAUAGCAAUAUAAAAGAUGGCGACCGGCGCACGGGUGAGUAACACGUAUCCAACCUGCCGAUAACUCGGGGAUAACCCUUCGAAAGAAGGCCUAAUACCCGAUGGCAUAUCCCUUCCGCCUGGUUGGGGUAUUAAAGAAUUUCGGUCAUCGAUGGGGAUGCGUUCCAUUAGGUUGUUGGCGUGGUAACGG
rnacentral:rRNA from 1 species